rnacentral:rRNA from 1 species
UACGAACCGUGCGAACGUUAUUCGGAAUCACUGGGCUUAAAGCGCGUGUAGGCGGGACGGCACGUCGGUCGCUGAAAUCCCCCGGCUUAACCGGGGAACUGGCGUCGAUACGACCGUCCUGGAGGGGCGUAGGGGGACCUGGAACUUCCGGUGGAGCGGUGAAAUGCGUUGAGAUCGGAAGGAACGCCCGUGGCGAAAGCGAGGUCCUGGACGGCUACUGACGCUGAGACGCGAAAGCCAGGGGAGCGAACGGG